GUGUGUACAGUGCUAUAGGUGAGUGGUGAUUUGAUGUUUAUGUUUAGCUCGUCAUUAAGUGUGUCCAGUGCUAUAGUUGAGUGGUGAUUUGAUGUUUAUUUUGAGCUCGUCAUUCAGUGUGUCCAGUGCUAUAGGUGAGUGGUGAUUUGAUGUUUAUUUUGAGCUCGUCUUUCAGUGUGUCCAG